UCAAAGGUGAGGGUGCAUUUCAGAUGUUCACUGCUUGUAUUGAUGGAGUGGAAUCGAUGAAGUUCCUCUGCUGUCCCCUGGAAUAGAAGGAACACGUCAUCAAAUAAUACUUUUACAGAGCCUGAUGAGUGUGCUAAAGCACCUUCCUCUCCUCUGAAGACCCAGUGAGGGUGGAGCUCAGUCAGAGAGCUGUUGAGGGACUGGUUCGGAAGAACACUUCUACAGCCAGAGAAGUGAGAGGUCACACGUGGUUUAGAUGCUAAAUAUGUAUGUCCCCUUAGUGGUUCAUCACGUCAGCAAAAGGGGCAGUCAAGAAAUAGAAUGGCAAGGCCACAGAACAUGACAUAAGCAGAGCUGUGGGAGACCACCUCAAACCCCUGGUAGAGCCGGGGGUGGUGUUUACCACUCCACCACGCCUUCAACAGGCGUGAAAAGACCGGAGCCCGAGGACCAUGCCUCAGGACUACCUGGCAUGAUGGCUCCUUGCUGUCCCCAGUCCACCUGG